rnacentral:rRNA from 1 species
GGGGAAUAUUGCGCAAUGGGCGAAAGCCUGACGCAGCGACGCCGCGUGAGGGAUGAAGGUUUUCGGAUCGUAAACCUCUGUCAGAAGGGAAGAAACCGCACCGUGCUAAUCAGCGGUGCCUUGACGGUACCUUCAAAGGAAGCACCGGCUAACUCCGUGCCAGCAGCCGCGGUAAUACGGAGGGUGCAAGCGUUAAUCGGAAUUACUGGGCGUAAAGCGCACGUAGGCUGCUUUGUAAGUCAGGGGUGAAAUCCCACGGCUCAACCGUGGAACGGCUUUUGAUAUUGCUUGGCUGGAAUCGGGGGGAGGGGGGGGGAAUUCAAGGUGUAGGAGUGAAAUCCGUAGAAAUCUGGGGGAAAACCAGUGGGGAAGGCGGCCACCUGGACCGGUAUUGACGUGGAGGUGGGAAAGGGUGGGAGCAAACA